rnacentral:rRNA from 1 species
UACGUAGGGUGCGAGCGUUAAUCGGAAUUACUGGGCGUAAAGCGUGCGCAGGCGGUUUUGUAAGCCGGAUGUGAAAUCCCCGGGCUUAACCUGGGAAUGGCAUUCGGGACUGCAAGGCUGGAGUGCGGCAGAGGAGAUUGGAAUUCCUGGUGUAGCAGUGAAAUGCGUAGAUAUCAGGAGGAACACCGAUGGCGAAGGCAGCCCCCUGGGCCAAUACUGACGCUCAUGCACGAAAGCGUGGGGAGCAAACAGG